rnacentral:rRNA from 1 species
UACGUAGGUGGCAAGCGUUGUCCGGAAUUAUUGGGCGUAAAGCGCGCGCAGGCGGUCCUUUAAGUCUGAUGUGAAAGCCCACGGCUCAACCGUGGAGGGUCAUUGGAAACUGGGAGACUUGAGUGCAGAAGAGAAGAGCGGAAUUCCACGUGUAGCGGUGAAAUGCGUAGAGAUGUGGAGGAACACCAGUGGCGAAGGCGGCUCUUUGGUCUGUAACUGACGCUGAGGCGCGAAAGCGUGGGGAGCGAACAGG